CAUGAUUCCCUUUUAUUCUAGAAGUUUGGUCCUUAAGGGGUUAAAGCUGAUUGAAUUAAAAAAAUUAUUUCUAUUUUUAUCAGGCAUAAAAUACUCAAAGGCGUAUUUACGAAUAGUUUACCGACAGUAAUGCUGCUGCAUUUGUAAAGGGGUAAAUUGUGUAGUGUUAGAACUACACGCAGUAAAAGGACUAUUGAAUGGUUUGCAUCUCUAGAUAUCUAUUGUGGUCUAUGUUCUUUAUAUUAUUGCCUCCUUGCC